AAUAGAUACCCAGGUAGUCCACGCCGUAAACGAUGAGUGCUAAGUGUUAGGGGGUUUCCGCCCCUUAGUGCUGCAGCUAACGCAUUAAGCACUCCGCCUGGGGAGUACGGUCGCAAGACUGAAACUCAAAGGAAUUGACGGGGGGCCCGCACAAGCGGUGGAGCAUGUGGUUUAAUUCGAAGCAACGCGAAGAACCUUACCAGGUCUUGACAUCCCAUUGACCACUAUGGAGACAUAGUUUUCCCUUCGGGGACAACGGUGACAGGUGGUGCAUGGUUGUCGUCAGCUCGUGUCGUGAGAUGUUGGGUUAAGUCCCGCAACGAGCGCAACCCUUGUUCUUAGUUGCCAUCAUUUAGUUGGGCACUCUAAGGAGACUGCCGGUGACAAACCGGAGGAAGGUGGGGAUGACGUCAAAUCAUCAUGCCCCGUUAUGACCUGGGCUACACACGUGCUACAAUGGACGGUACAAACGGUUGCCAACCCGCGAGGGGGAGCUAAUCCGAUAAAACCGUUCUCAGUUCGGAUUGUAGGCUGCAACUCGCCUACA
rnacentral:rRNA from 1 species